AUUGAACGCUGGCGGCAGGCUUAACACAUGCAAGUCGAGCGGGGGAAGGUAGCUUGCUACUGGACCUAGCGGCGGACGGGUGAGUAAUGCUUAGGAAUCUGCCUAUUAGUGGGGGACAACAUCUCGAAAGGGAUGCUAAUACCGCAUACGUCCUACGGGAGAAAGCAGGGGAUCUUCGGACCUUGCGCUAAUAGAUGAGCCUAAGUCGGAUUAGCUAGUUGGUGGGGUAAAGGCCUACCAAGGCGACGAUCUGUAGCGGGUCUGAGAGGAUGAUCCGCCACACUGGGAAUGAGACACGGCCCAGACUCCUACGGGGGGGAGCAGUGGGGAAUAUUGGACAAUGGGGGGAACGCUGAUCCAGCCAUGCCGCGUGUGUGAAGAAGGCCUUAUGGUUGUAAAGCACUUUAAGCGAGGAGGAGGCUACUUUAGUUAAUACCUAGAGAUAGUGGACGUUACUCGCAGAAUAAGCACCGGCUAACUCUGUGCCAGCCGCCGCGGUAAGAC
rnacentral:rRNA from 1 species